UUACGGCCACAUUACGUUGAAAUCUCGGUUUCCGUAUGAUCACCGAAGUUAAGCAACGUCGAGCCUGGUCAGUACCUAGGUAGUUGACCGCUUGGCAAUACUGGAUACUGUAAG